AACAUCGUCACACUCUUAGUGUGUAAGAUCCACAGGGAGAGGAACGGAGAAGAGUGUCUUCUGCUGUAUAGAUAUGGAGGAGGAGACCCCAAUGAGAACACAUGUGACUCCAGGUUCACUCUCAUGACGGAGAACCACACUGUGUUUCUCCACCUGACCAGUUUAACACCAGUGGACAGUGGGAACUACACCUGCCAGUGUUCCCAUGUUGAUGGGAUGGAUGUUCUCAAUCUGAGUAUCACCGUGGAAGAUGUUUCAGAGGGAGACGCCAGGCGGUCAACACACCAGCUGAUUGUAAUCGGGUUGAUCGGGGCCACAAUAGUCAUUUCUAUAACUGCAGUUAUCUUCGGGUUUCUUUACAGAGGAAUACGUCAAAGGUGAGAGAAUACUUGUAAUACUCACAACUAUUUAAUAACUUGACAGCAUUGGGUCGGUUGAAGUAAUGAAGGAAG
rnacentral:lncRNA from 1 species